UGUUGAUUCAGUCGACUAAACGGUUCGUCAUCUUUUCCCCUCCUGGACGGAUGAGAAGUUACCCUACGUAGGGGAGGCGUGAUCCCCGCCUCCCCUCAUUAUUCUUCAGACCUGGUCCUCAACCAGUGGAGAGCAGAAAUCAAGCUCAAAAUUGUUUCCAGACCUGGUUGAGUUCAAGCUGUUUUCCAGACUCUUCUUAAAGAGUGUUUCCUGACUUCUGGAUAAGGAUUCAAGUCUCCAGUUAUUUCCUCUGGAUCAAGUUCAAGCUGGCAGCUUCCUGGCUCUUCGACAAUCUGGAUCAAAUCAUAAGCGAACCCUGUCCACACUCCAACAAACUCUCACGCAAGUAUUGCCAACCUGUGCUCCACAUCAAUCCACUCCCAUCACAGUCCUGGAUCAGAGCUCCUAAGGAUCUACCUUCACAGAACUGCUCCUGCGUUGUGCUCUCAGACCCCGCAUCUCUCAUCCCUCUGGGGGUCCAUCUUCCUCCCCCCCAUUGGAGAUUUACCGGUCCAGGAUCUCAACCCAUUUUACUCCCGUGAAAAUAAAUCUUUUAAAAACUUA